rnacentral:lncRNA from 1 species
CCUCUUCCGGCAUAAGUGUGGGAUGAGAGGGCGAUUCUGACAAUGAGCUAUAAAUUAUUAUCAGAGUCCAACACUACAGACACAAAUGGCAAACAGUGAAAGGUGACACUGAAAGAAGAAGAGGCAAACAGCCCUAUAGUUUGUUUUCAUGCUCAAUAAGGACAUCCCAGCGAGGCAGUGAGGGUGUAUCAAGGAGCUUCUGGUGAUUAAGAGGCCUGUGUAUCGGAUCUAUUGUGUGUGGAGAGGACCAAACGGAUUAUAUAAAUAUGACUACAAUGAUGUCUUGGUUCAGUACCUUGAACAUGGUGCUGCUCAUGGAUCUGACUGAUGUUGCAGCUGGUGUCAUCCUACAGACGGAGAAGAUGGUCGUGCAGGGCGUUGCGUCCUACAUGAGAGCGUCGUGCGACUGUCCCGCGACACACAUAGUGCUGGUUCGGCCUGACACCAAGACAGUAGUUUUUGUAGCACAACAGUCGACUGCCAGAGUAAUUGUGAAGGUUAUUUGAGUGACCCGCUGUUUAGUAAUGAAACAACUCUGAGUGUUGUCAUUGUCAAGUUUCAAGCUGUUGAUGUGGGAACAUGGAAGCUGCGAUGUUGUGGCAAAGAAGUGAUGUCAACAAUAACAGAUGGAGCAGAAACUAUAUCAAGACGUCCAACCAUCCUGCGCGACCCCGUACCGCCAACAGAACAUCUCGGGGGGCGAGCAGAUGGGGCCGCACGAUCACACACGACAAAUCGACUGUUCGCAAAAGCUACACGUUUCCCCACCACCGACAGGACACCUCGGAGGACAGGUUCUGUCCCUCAUCCAGCAUCCAGCACUGGAAAUACACUUCCCAAUUCUAACAUCGUCCUCAACAUGUCACUGAUAAUGACAUCCAUCUUUUUACUGAUGUUUGUAAAUGUUUUUUAAUCUUGACCCAAUCAAUACAUAGUUGCACAGUGUAUAUGGUCUCUGCUCUGAAGCAUGAGCGUGUCGGCCAGUGCAGCAGCCGAGAGAUGACCUAAUGGGACUAGUGAAUGGACACACAAACAGCUGUUUCCAGGGACACUCAAGGUACCCGGAUGUAAACUAUUGACCUUUGUCACGCUCACGAGCCAGAUCCUGAGUAUUCACUCACCAAUUUCACCAAGUGCUUUACGUCAGAGACAUGCAGCACUUCCGGCUUUCCUGCCACAGCCGGCAGCCAUGACAUACAGGAAUACAGAGAGUUGGUAAAAAAAAACCCAACUCACUCACGUAAUUUUAUGAGGAAAUUAACAGUAAUUGACGUGGUUCUAUUCUUGUCUUUAUUAUCACCCGUUGUUUGCCACAAAAAGCUGUAUUGUUAAAAUUCUUUCUAAAUUUGGAAAUAUAACAGCAAUGAAAAGUUUUGUGUAGGUUUUGAGAGUAUAAAAAGACAGCAUAACAGCAGGUUAUAAUGUCCAUGACAUUGACGUUAAGAGUCCAGGUUCGGGGCAGGGGUCAACCACCAAUGCCACCGAUGUCACCAGCUCAGUGACGUGUAUGCCUACCCCGAGCACAGCAGUCCAUCGCCGACGCAUGGAGUCUAUCAAAUAGGCUGGAAGGCAAGUGGAAUGGCUUCCCAAAUUCUCUGUAAAUCUGUGGCUAAAUCAGGAACGUUAUCCGGCGGAACACGGCGUAGAUGUCGCUCUAUUUCCUCCCACGCAUGCUCUGUAGGGAUCCGGUGAAUCUGCAGGCCAAGGCAGUUUUGUUAUAUUGUGCUGUGGAAGAAAGCCCCAUCAACCUAUAGCCGCUUGUGGGCAUGGAGUGGUAAUCGUGGUCCAGGGCGGUGAAGAAACGGAAUUGUUCUCUUCAGCCCACACCUGUCAAAUUGCCCCGAGCAACAUCUAAAGAUUUUCUCCAACGUGCACUUAUCCCACCCCCCAGUCAUCACGGAACCAUCCCAAUUCCUCUCCAAGACACAGGCUUGAAUACAAAGCUUCCCAAGACGUCUGUAGACACGUUGACCUCCUUCACUAUGGAAAAUGUUUAAUUGUCUGUGAAAAGUCCUCCACCAUAACCGAAAUUGACAGGAUUUCGGCACCACCUUUCACGGCUUUCACGAUGACAUUGCGUCAGGAUAGGUCGUAUGGCGGGACGAGUCAUGUCCCAUAAUGAAGCAAGCGGUUCCUGACUGUGUUGGAGUUGAUACGCCGAAGUCUUGGAAUGGCCUGAACAGUGGUGCCUGCAGUCUGAGACCAGUGUCGGAGAUGGGGCACCCGCAUCUAUCU